GACGAACGCUGGCGGCGUGCUUAACACAUGCAAGUCGAACGGAAAGGCCCUGCUUUUGUGGGGUACUCGAGUGGCGAACGGGUGAGUAACACGUGAGUAACCUGCCCUUGACUUUGGGAUAACUUCAGGAAACUGGGGCUAAUACCGGAUAGGAGCUCCUGCUGCAUGGUGGGGGUUGGAAAGUUUCGGCGGUUGGGGAUGGACUCGCGGCUUAUCAGCUUGUUGGUGGGGUAGUGGCUUACCAAGGCUUUGACGGGUAGCCGGCCUGAGAGGGUGACCGGCCACAUUGGGACUGAGAUACGGCCCAGACUCCUACGGGAGGCAGCAGUGGGGAAUAUUGCACAAUGGGUGGAAGCCUGAUGCAGCAACGCCGUGUGCGGGAUGACGGCCUUCGGGUUGUAAACCGCUUUCGCUCAUGACGAAGCUUUGUGUGACGGUAGUGGGUAAAGAAGCACCGGCUAACUACGUG
rnacentral:rRNA from 1 species